UACAUGGGGUGCAAACGUUGCUCGGAAUUAUUGGGCGUAAAGCGCGCGUAGGCGGUUGCCUAAGUCGGACGUGAAAGCCCUCGGCUUAACCGAGGAAGUGCAUCCGAAACUGAGCAGCUAGAGUACGAAAGAGGGUCGCGGAAUUCCCGGUGUAGAGGUGAAAUUCGUAGAUAUCGGGAGGAACACCGGCGGCGAAGGCGGCGACCUGGGUCGAGACUGACGCUCAGGAGCGAAAGCGUGGGGAGCGAUC
rnacentral:rRNA from 1 species